GUUCAACGGCGGCGUGCCUCCAUCCCCUCCGGCCUCUCACCCCGACCCCUGCGGCACCGGUGGCCGUAAGUUUCUUCCUCACCUCUUCCCUAGUUAAUUUCUUCCCGAUUUUCCGGAUCCGCGACGUCGAAGGAUUCUUCCUCCCUCGGAUUUCCGCUCAGUCCUCGGAUUUCCCGUCACUCCUCGGAUCUCCCUGCAGUCCAAGUUCCGGCCGGUCUCGGAGACGAGACGGCCUAUAGAUAUAGAUGGAGGAGAGGGCGGAGGAGAUCGAUCUGAGCAAGCCGAGGCUGCGCGCGAUGGGGAAAAAGCUACCCCCUUCUACUCCGACGGCGGGAAGGCGGCGCAAAGGUCCCUCCUUGGCCCCGCUCUCCGCCUGCAAGCGCCGGCGGACCCCUGAGGCAAGCGGCUGGGCUUCCCUCCCCACCGAUAUAGUCCACCUUGUCGCCAGCCGCCUGCUGGCCGACGACGUGGUGGACUACAUCGUCUUCCGGGCCGUCUGCUCCGGCUGGCGCAGCUGCACGAGCGACGCGCGCGACCCCACCCUGAGCAGACCGGACCUCUGGCCGCGCGGCUGGGUCGCCCUCUGCGACGGCGACGGGGUACGCCCGGACGACGCCGGCGAGAUCGGCUUCUUCCACACGCGGACGGCCAGGCGCCUCCGCGUCCGCCUGCCGGAGCUCCGGCGCCACAGGAUCGUCGGCUUCACCCAGGGACUGAUCAUUCUUCUGAACAAACGCACCGCCGCCGUCCGGGUGCUGCAUCCCUUCACGCGGGGCGUGGUCGACCUCCCGUCCCUCGUCCCCGUGUUCCAUGACGCGGUCAGGAACCGGAGCUCCAUGCUUGACAUGAACGCCGCGGUCUGCAGCGCGUCCGCGACCUCCAUUGCCGUGGUGGCAUGGUUCCCGUGGACCCGGGUGGUGAUCGGCGCCGAGGCUGGCCGCCCCGCUUGGGAGGUCCUCCACCGAGGGCUUUUCCUUAGGAGCAUCUUGCCCUUCCAAGGAAGGCUUUACGCCACCGUCGCCAUGGGUGGCUCAAUGAAGAUCAUACAGCUGUACCCGAGAUCACCCCACCCUGUGCUUGCUCAUGUUCCAAAUGAUUUUGGUGUUCUGGACCUAUGCAGCUACUUCCUCGUGGAGUCCGGUGGGCGAGUGCUGCUUGCCGUCCACCAUUUAACUGCACAAAAUUGUGGCAUGGAGCCCUUCCAGCAAAAUGCCUAUAAGCUCUUUGCGUUGGACAUCGAUCACGGUGAGCUGAUCCCAGUGAACUGCCUCGGUGGCCACGCGCUGUUCCUCAACAGGGAUCGGUGCCUGUCUGUUUCGGCCAGGGACCUCCCAUCUGUCAGCAGCAACUCCAUUUACUUCUCUUUGCACCGUGACCCUGUUGUGGUGCACUCGGUAAGGACAGGUUUCUCUGAGCAGCUAGCAGUGUCAUGCCAAAUACAUGACGGGAAGGAUAGGAUCCGACCCUCCGUGCGCCCUUUCACCAUUGCUGACCAUCUUCUAACCUACUGCCAUCCUCAUGAGUGGACAAAAGGACUCAUGUUUCAUGAGUACCACUCUAUACCUGAAUCUUUCGAGGAAUUGAGGAAGAACAUCAAGGCAAAAGAUUCUGAACUAUGGAUUCCUCGCUUUGCAGUUUGUUGAUCCGAAGAGGAAACAGAGUCACAGCACCUCACACUAGCCAUUGAAUAGUGAAGGUCAAUUCCUUGGUGGGUCCCGGCGCAUUGUGCAUGAUCUUUUGAUUUUUUUACCAGCAGUUUGUCUAUGCUAUGCAUAUAUAGUGGUGGUUCUCGACGAUAUCCAGUUGUGCCUGCAAAAGCAUUCAGGCCAUGUUUGUCUCGCCUUGUCACGACGGCAGGAAGGCUCGUCCUCAUUAAGACAGUAAAGCUCCGAAGCUCAUUCAUCACCUGCUAGUCACUGAGGUGCCAUCAGGGUAUUGGGAGCGGUGGAGAAGUGGGAGAGAGCCUUCGUUUGGGCAGGUACUGAUGAAAUCAAUGGCGGGAAAUGCCUUGUGGCAUGGAGUAAGGUUGUUCAGCCAACCUAAACUUAAAGCUCCAGGGGCUUGUGCUUCGCGUGAGCUGGGAGUGGCUAUGUUGUACUGACCCUGGAAAACCAUGGCAGGGAUUGCAAAUUAUUUGAAGAUAUUUCUGCAAGGCUCAAUGGUUAUUUUGUAGAUUGCUGGAUCAAUGGUUAUUCUGUUGCUGAGUUUGUGCUGCUAGUUCUGGAGUUCAUUCGGCUAGCCCUGGUCUGCUGCUGGAGUUCAUUCGGCUAGCUCUGUGCACCGUUUGCUUACUAUCUUCUUCACCGGUGCUGACUGCGCAUGGAGAUGCAGGGCACCCUUAACCUGCAAGAUAAUUGCCUCGCUAGCUUAUACAAUAUCGGCUUUGGACCUGAAUGGGACAACUUGUGAUCAGCAUUUAUGGUCUUAUUUUGACGUUUUUAACCUGUAUAUGAUUCAACCACCGCAUGGUGAGUGCAAAUAAAAAUGUAACUUGUCAUCAUUGAUAUGCACAGAUUUACUCUUGAUCA